rnacentral:rRNA from 1 species
GACGAACCGUGCGAACGUUGUUCGGAUUCACUGGGCUUAAAGGGCGCGUAGGCGGACCCGCCAGUCUGGGGUGAAAUCGUUCGGCUUAACCGGACCAUUACCUUGGAUACUGCGGGUCUCGAGGGAGGUAGGGGCAUGCGGAACUUCCGGUGGAGCGGUGAAAUGCGUUGAUAUCGAGAGGAACACCUGCGGCGAAGGCGGGUUGCUGGGCUGACACUGACGCUGAUGCGCGAAAGCUAGGGGAGCGAACGGG